rnacentral:rRNA from 1 species
GACAAACGCUGGCGGGGUGCAUGAGACAUGCAAGUCGAACGAGGUGCCAUCGGGCUUGCUCGAUGGCUACCUAGUGGCGGACGGCUGAGUAACGCGUAGGUGACCUACCCGGAAGUGGGGAAUAACUGCCCGAAAGGGUGGCUAAUACCGCAUGUGGUCGGCGAUUCGAUUCGCCGUCUAAAGGAGCAAUUCGCUUCCGGAGGGGCCUGCGUCCGAUUAGCUAGUUGGUGGGGAACGGCUCACCAAGGCGACGACGGGUAGCUGGUCUGAGAGGAUGGCCAGCCACAUUGGGACUGAGACACGGCCCAGACUCCUACGGGAGCAGCAGUGGGGAAUAUUGCGCGAUGGACGAAAGUCUGACGCAGCGACGCCGCGUGUGGGAUGACGGUCUUCGGAUUGUAAACCACUGUCGGGAGGGACGAAUACGCCGCAAGGCGGGUGACGGUACCUCCAAAGGAGCACCGGCUAACUCCGUGCCAGCAG